rnacentral:rRNA from 1 species
AUUGAACGCUGGCGGCAUGCUUUACACAUGCAAGUCGAACGGUAACAGGCCUUCGGGUGCUGACGAGUGGCGGACGGGUGAGUAAUGCAUCGGAACGUGCCCAGAGGUGGGGGAUAACGCAGCGAAAGCUGUGCUAAUACCACAUGUGAUCUGAGGAUGAAAGCGGGGGACCAGGCAGCAAUGUUUGGCCUCGCGCCUUUGGAGCGGCCGAUGUCAGAUUAGGUAGUUGGUGGGGUAAAGGCCUACCAAGCCGACGAUCUGUAGCUGGUGUGAGAGGACGAUCAGCCACACUGGGACUGAGACACGGCCCAGACUCCUACGGGAGGCAGCAGUGGGGAAUUGGGGACAGUGGGGGCAAGCCUGAUCCAGCGAGGCCGCGUGCGGGGAGAAGGCCUUCGGGUUGUAAACCGCGUUUGUACGGAGCGAAAAGGCUCUGGCUAAUACCUGGGGCUGAUGACGGUACCGUAAGAAGAAGCACCGGCUAACUACGUG